rnacentral:lncRNA from 13 species
GUGCAAUAUUCUGUUGAGGGGUGGAAGUAGCUCUCAGUGAGAUGGAUGGGAAGGCAAGAAAGGGGAUGGAGUGGAAAGAUGGUCUUCCCCUGGAGUUGGGCUGCCCAGCCCCCAGACUCUCCUCCGACUGCCCACAACCGAAUUCCAUAUCUUCCUGCCACCAAUGGUCUGCUAUACAGGAAGCAUGAGGCUGGCAUCUGCAUCGCGUCUAUGGAGGCCUCAGGAAAUUUACAAUCAUGGUGGAAGGCAAAGCAGAAGCCAGCACUUCACAUGGCCAGAGAAGGAAGAGGAAAGAGAAAUGGAAUGGCUACAGAUUUUUAAACAACGAGAUCUGUGAGAACUCACUCCCGAUAAUGAGAAGAGCACCAGAGGUGAUGUUGCGAAACCAUUCAGGAGAAACCACUCCCAUGAUUCAAUCACCUCUCACCAGGCUCCACCUGCAACUAGGGAAUUAGGGAUUACAAUUUGACAUGAGAAUUAAGUGGGGACACAAACCCAAACCAUACCACUUGUUUCCUUCAACACCGUAUACCUUGUCAAUCAAUGUAUUGCCAAGAUGAUGGGUGAUGAUAUCUCCUAAAUAAUUUGAGAUAUUAUACAUGUGGCAGAUCUCAGUUUAAACAUUGCUUUCUCCAUGAAGCUUUCCAUUUCUUUCCUACACACACAUCUAUAACAUCUAUGCCCAAUGAGUUUGUUCCUUGUGCUCAAUUCCUUCCAUACUUCUCCACUUUUAAUCUUAGCAUCUUUAUGAUGACAGAGGCUUUUAUGUUUUCAUUUCCCACUAUUACCCCUAAGCCCAGUAGAGAGAACAGAGAAUAGGCCUAACAGAAAUCUGUUGCAUGUUUGAUAAAUAUUGAAGAAAAUCCUGUGCUUGAUUUAGCAUUUUCUGCCUGACUAUCUGUAUCUAGGUGAAUUGCAUUGAUAUGAAUUUGGAAUGAAGCCCUACUUUAGAUGCUAAUCACUAUAACUUUAGUUUGCAAUUCUAAAUUCUUUUUAUAUAAGUGGAGAUUAUUAGAAAUGAUUUUAAUAAAUAUACAAAAUCAUUUGUGAAAUGGUUCUUU